CGUAGUCCACCGCACCUCACACCACUCUCCAGUAGAUAGGGACAGAGGGAAUCUCGUUAAUCCAUUCAUGCGCGUCACUAAUUAGAUGACGAGGCAUUUGGCUAUAUCAUGCGCCUACGAUCAAAGCGACCGUGGCGGACUUCCGAGGAUACCUCCUCGUAGGGUGAUUUUGAUAUCUUGGGAAGUUUAAGUGUUCCCAACACUUUUCCAAUUAUUCCAACUCUUUUACCGUCGUUCCAGGUCGUGGCACAAGCCAUCGAAGGGAGCGAACGAUCCGCCAGCCACUAGACUUAUUCGAUACGUAAGUUUAACUUACGUUGUGGGCACAAGGUACCCCUCCCUUAACCUUUCCGUACAUGAUCAAAAAGAAGAAAUUUUUUAGCACCAGCGGCCGGUCGACCGCUCGCUCUCUUAGCUAUGGGUAGGUGGGGUCGCUGCUCCCCAUCGGUGUGCACCUCACCGCCCAUUCCUCGCCGUAGCCGGUUUCGAACUCUAUGAUUCUCCGAAGAGCAAUCGAUAGGCAUUCCAGCGGGACCACGUGGAGGUACGAACUACGACUUGAGGCAUAAGAGGCUCUGUAUUGCGCUUCAUGCCCCCAGCAACUAUUACUCUCAAGAGAGUAAAGUACUCUAAGAGAGUCAUAGUUACUCCCGCCUUUAAAAGAUAGUCCCAAGUUCACUUCCACAGUUAGUUUUACAAAGUAAACAAACAAUUUUCGAUGACGACACGGUUUAAAAGGCUGUACGUGAAGUACCGGACACAUGAUGUGGUCUGUUAAAUGGCCGCAUAAUGCGCUGAUUUUUACCUGGGAAGCAUCAGACUAUCCAAAUUAAGAGAGUCAUAGUUACUCCCGCCGUUUACCCGCGCUUUUUUGAAUUUCUUCACGUUGACAUUCAGAGCACUGGGCAGAAAUCACAUUGCGUCAACACCCUCGGGGGCCAUCGCAAUGCUUUGUUUUAAUUAGACAGUCGGAUUCCCCUAGUCCGUGCCAGUUCUGAGCUGAGCGUUGAAUGGCGGCCGAAGAGAGCGACCACGACGGCAGAGCCGCCACGGAAGCCUCGCAGCAAGGAAGAUCCGCGGGAGGCCAAGGCACGGGACCGAGCUCGGAUCCGGGGUGCGAGGUACAAGACCACGCCCCGUUCAGCUCGCCCAGGCCCGGCACGUCAGCCAAACCCGCUUCCCGACGAAGCCCGAUACGCCGCGCUCCUCAGAGCCAAUCCUUAUUCCGAAGUUACGGAUCCAAUUUGCCGACUUCUCUUAUCUACAUUCUCUUACCUACAUCUAUCGACUAGAGGAGACCUUUAUCUUGGAGACUUGUUGCGUAUAUGGGUACGAACCGGCGCGACAUCUUUGCGUCUCCUGGAUUUUCAAGGUCCGAGAGGAAGAUCCGGAAGCCGCUGCAACUGUGGUACUCUUCAUGUUCCAAAUCCUUGCUAGAAGUUUCCAGGGAACUUGAACGCUUAUACAGAAAAGAAAACUCUUUCCGGAUCUCCAGGUCAUUUUGGGUUACCCCGACGAACACUCUUACGAGGGCUUGAAUGGUUUGUUGUUCCGCUGCCGGGUUCCAGAAUAGAAACCGGAUUUCCUUUAGCUCAAUGGCUUAGGAUCUACUGACUCGUGUGCAACGGCUGUUAACACGAAACGCUUCUCCACAUCAGUCUUCCUUGCUGGGGACGUUGCUGGAGUAUUUGCUACUACUACCAAGAUUUACACCGACGGCUCCAAGCAAGGCUCACGCUCAAACUCUUCUGUGCACAUCGCCGCGACCUCCUACACAUCAGGACUUCAUGGAGAAUGGUCCCGCCCGAAAGCGGGACUCACGUGCCUCCCUAUUUACCGCUGACGGCAGAAUAUAGACGCGACGCUUCAGGCUAGUUGGUUUGGCAGAGAUCAAAAUUAUGGAUGCACGCCUUCAAAGAUCAACCCAAUUACAAUACCCUGAUCCAUCAAGGACGAUGAACAGGCUGAACAGAGAUGGUAUGUCGGGACGAGUCUCUUUACUGCUGUACAAAAAAAGAGAAAAAAUAAAAUGAGGUAGUGAAACUCACGCAAGGAAAAAUAUCACGAGCCAUUUCCAGGGACUGGACGACUGACAUGGACAUGCAGUCCGGCGAUACACAACAAAAAAGGCAUGGGAUGACCAACAUUAGAUUCAGGAAAUUUCUCUUUCUCUGUGCGGAGAUAUCAUAAUUUGUCGUCUCGAAAAAGAAAAAAAAAAAAAAUGAACGAAAAGUUGAACUAACGUAUCUCUAAUCAUUUUCUAUCCCCAAUUCGCCGUAAUAGUGAUUUUCUUGUCGAAAAAAUAUAGUUUUAAUCAAAAUCAAUUUUUCAUGGUAGAAUUUGUCAUGAUGUGGCGAGUUUUUGUUCGAUGUCGUAUUUCUAUUUAUUUUUGAAUCCGAAUCGCGGUAACAACGUUUUUAACAUCGAAAAGCUAAAAUUUUGAUCAAAAUCGACAUUUCGUGUCGGAAUUCAACAUAUCUGUGAGAAAUCGUCAUUUUUAACGAAAUCAAAGAGGAGUACGCCAAGCCAACAGAAAAAUAUACCCCCACCCCUCCCCCCUUCCCACACACACAUACGUGUAUCUACAAAACAAAAAUAUAUACAAAUAAAUAUAUACAAAUCAAAAGGCAAUUUCAUACAUUAUUACACGUCAAGGCAUUUAUGAUCAUAUGAAGAAGAGGAAAUUUUAGAAUCUUUAGAUUUAGGCACUAUUGAACCGACUAUAGAAUAAUUGUAUAAGAGAUACAAAGAAUUUUUUUGGCUCAUUCAAGCAGGAAAUGUUGCAUAUUAUAUUCAAUUUUAGCUGGUUACUCUUCUACGUAUGCUACGGUCGAAUAAAAAAGUGGAAAUUUUAGAAUAUCUUGAAUAGUGUGUUUCAUUAAAACGACUGUAUCUCCGAAGAUAAUAUAUAUAUAUAUAUAUAAUACUUAAUACAAUACUUAAACUAUAAUAUUUUAAAUCGAAUGCUGUUGUAGAAGAGCUAAAAUACGUUAUUUAAUCUAAAUGUCGUUUUUUGCCGUCAUGUUUGAUUAUUUUAUUAAAUAUUCUGUGAAUUUAUAUUUUGUAAAUCAUAUGCGUAUAUAUGAAUGUACACACAUAUUUAAAAAUACAAUAUAAAAUAUAAAUUGUAAAUAUAUAAACAUUUAUAAUAUAAAUAUAUAUAAUAUAUAUAUAUAUUACAUAAUAUAAACAUUUAUAACAUAUUUAAUGCAUAAUUUUUAAAGAUUGCUAUGAAUAAUGCGUAAUGAUGAUUUUAACUUAUAUGAAAGUUAAAAAUUUGAUAGUAAAAAGAAAUAAAAAAAGAAAAGGAAUUUCAAACAAUAAAUAUAAAUGCUUUAAUAAAUGUUUUAAGUUGAAGUGUUUCAGUUUUCUUUAGUUUACUUUGUUUAAUUUGAAAGUGUAAAUAAUUUAACUAUUUUUCUGUGGAAUACUUUUACCAUUUAUAAAGUAAUUGUUUAUAUAAUAGAAUUUUAGAACAUAAGUAAAUAUAAAUCUCACAUAUAUCUUCUCUCCAAUCUUAAUAUUCAUAGUUUCGUUCAUAGUUUUGUUAUUUUGAAAAUUAUACUUUUUAAAAUUAUACGAUAUAAUUAGAGAAAUUAAUGAUGCAAAAAUAUUUAAAUUCAAGAUAAUUUUUGUUUAAUGUGUUUAAAUAUAUUGAUAAAUAUUUGUAAUAAUAAUAAUAAUAAUAAUAAUAAUAAUAAUAAUAAUAACAAUAAUAAGAAUAGGAAUAAUAAUCUAUUUUAAAUAUAUGUUUUAUAAUAAGAUUUAAUUAUCUAUAUUAUUAAUGUCUAUAUUAAUAUUAUUUAACUAUAUUACGUGCAAAUCGACAAUGCGGAAUUUAUAAUGGUCUAAUCUCGUGAUUUGUGUUGUAAAAAGAAUCUUGUGAAAAAAGAAAAUUCAUCAACUCCGAAGCACAUGUAAUCAUUAUUAUGGGCACGAUUGCUCAAUUUUUUACUGUAGAAGAUAAAAUCAAGAUAAAGAUCCAAAAGUCCGAUAAAGUGUGGAUUUGUUCAAUUGUUAUUAAUAAAUGCAACAAUUUAAAAUGAUACGAUAA